AGUCGUAACAAGGUUUCCGUAGGUGAACCUGCGGAAGGAUCAUUACUGUGAAUUAACUUCCACACAUGCGUGAGCGCACAAAACACAUAAACCGUGAGUAAUUUUUGUCGAAACUUGAAAAAAAAAUACAAAACUUUCAACAACGGAUCUCUUGGUUCUCGCAUCGAUGAAGAGCGCAGCGAAAUGCGAUACCUAGUGUGAAUUGCAGCCAUCGUGAAUCAUCGAGUUCUUGAACGCACAUUGCGCCCGUCGGUAUUCCGGCGGGCAUGCCUGUCUGAGCGUCGUUUCCUUCUUGGAACUUUUGUUAAAGAAAGAUCCAGAGCUGGCCGUGCCACUGGCCCGGCCGAAAAGAAACGUUGCGGACGAAGCGAACUACAUCGGGACGCUUUGGCCGCCGAGCGAAAAUAUAUCAUUGAGCUCGACCUCAGAUCAGGUAGGAGUACCCGCUGAACUUAAGCAUAUCAAUAA
rnacentral:misc_RNA from 1 species